rnacentral:lncRNA from 1 species
AUGCUAUUGAUAAGAAAAAAGAAAAAGGAGAGAUUCCUGGUGCACUUACUGACCACCUGUGAGCGUUACCCAGGAGCUUUGGUCCCCAAACAGGAGCCCUCAGCGCAUCCUGCACAAGGCAAACGUCUGCAGCCCAUGGGGUCAGGUGGCCUGCACAGCCUCGCCGUGGCAGGCACGUCCCGAGAGCUGCCCGGCCCCAGCCAGCCGGCUUUGUCCUCCUGGAGCCUGGGAAGCGGCUCAUCGGGAUCACUGCAACCCAAGCUCUGCGGGUCUUGCCUACCAGGGGCGGUUUCAGCACCCGGUGUUCAUUUCUCUACAGGCGAAGAGAAAUGGGAAACCGAGCUUGAGCUCCAGAACCAGGGAGAGGGGAUGGGAGACCCCGACAGCAAGCCUGUCCAUUCAGUCCCGAUCAGCCUGGAGCCCCACACGGAAGAAUGGUUGCUGACCUCAUCUCAGAACAUGUCCAAGCCUCCCCCCUCACGUGGGUGCUGCGCAUGCCUUCCAGACGAACCUCUUCAGCCUUCACCUUCUGUCCAUACCGGCCAAAGAUGGGUGUUCAAGAUCCUCAUCUGUAACAACGUGCUUGGCGCACCCAUUAUGGUCACAGUUCUGUGGAGCUUUAUCAAUAAAAUUAGACUGUGCAGACAAACUACAGAAAGCUCCAUCCCCCUCCCUCCAGCAGCUGAGCCAGGCAGGGGAGGGAGCCCACAUGCAUGACUUAAUCUGACUUUGUUAGCGUCCUGCUGGCU